UUAGUUGAAGCCAAAUAGAGGCUGAUCAUUGUUAAUGAUCUAAUUGAAAUCUCCAUCUA
rnacentral:tRNA from 1 species